rnacentral:rRNA from 1 species
GACGAACGCUGGCGGCGUGCCUAAUACAUGCAAGUCGAACGAGUGGCGGACGGGUGAGUAAUGUCUGGGACACUGCCUGAUGGAGGGGGAUAACUACUGGAAACGGUAGCUAAUACCGCAUACCAUCGGAUGUGCCCAGCUGGGAUUAGCUAGUAGGUGUGGUAACGGCUCACCUAGGCGACGAUCCCUAGCUGGUCUGAGAGGAUGACAAUACACACUGGAAAUGAGAAACGGUCCAGACUCCUACGGGAGGCAGCAGUGGGGAAUAUUGCACAAUGGGCGCAAGCCUGAUGCAGCCAUGCCGCGUGUAUGAAGAAGGACUUCGGGUUGUAAAGUACUUUCAGCGGGGAGGCGUUACCCGCAGAAGAAGCACCGGCUAACUCCGUGCCAGCAGCCGCGGUAAUAC